rnacentral:tRNA from 1 species
GCUUUGGUGGCCAAGUGGUAAGGCGUCGCACUUGGUUAGUAGCUCUGAUCUGCCACUGUACAUUCCCAAAUCCCAUUCUAACAACUCGAAAAGUAAUGCGAAGACCGUGGGUUCGAAUCCCAUCCGAAGCA